GACGAACGCUGGCGGCGUGCUUAACACAUGCAAGUCGAACGGAAAGGCCCUGCUUUUGUGGGGUGCUCGAGUGGCGAACGGGUGAGUAACACGUGAGUAACCUGCCCUUGACUUUGGGAUAACUUCAGGAAACUGGGGCUAAUACCGGAUAGGAGCUCCUGCUGCAUGGUGGGGGUUGGAAAGUUUCGGCGGUUGGGGAUGGACUCGCGGCUUAUCAGCUUGUUGGUGGGGUAGUGGCUUACCAAGGCUUUGACGGGUAGCCGGCCUGAGAGGGUGACCGGCCACAUUGGGACUGCGAUACGGACCAGACUGCUACGGGAGGCAGCAGUGGGGAAUAUUGCACAAUGGGCGGAAGCCUGAUGCAGCAACGCCGCGUGCGGGAUGACGUCCUUCGGGUUGUAAACCGCUUUCGCCUGUAACGAGGCGUGAGUGACGGUAAUGGGUAAAAAAGCACCGGCUAACUACGUG
rnacentral:rRNA from 1 species